GACGAACGCUGGCGGCGUGCUUAACACAUGCAAGUCGAACGGAAAGGCCCUGCUUUUGUGGGGUGCUCGAGUGGCGAACGGGUGAGUAACACGUGAGUAACCUGCCCUUGACUUUGGGAUAACUUCAGGAAACUGGGGCUAAUACCGGAUAGGAGCUCCUGCUGCAUGGUGGGGGUUGGAAAGUUUCGGCGGUUGGGGAUGGACUCGCGGCUUAUCAGCUUGUUGGUGGGGUAGUGGCUUACCAAGGCUUUGACGGGUAGCCGGCCUGAGCGGGUGACCGGGCACAUGGGGACUGAGAGACGGCCCAGACGCCUACGGGAGGCAGCAGUGGGGAAUAUUGCACAAUGGGCGGAAGCCUGAUGCAGCAACGCCGCGUGCGGGAUGACGGCCUUCGGGUUGUAAACCGCUUUCGCCUGUGACGAAGCGUGAGUGACGGUAAUGGGUAAAGAAGCACCGGCUAACUACGUG
rnacentral:rRNA from 1 species